rnacentral:sRNA from 1 species
UGUUGCUUCAUAGUCCUCCAUAGGAAAUA